CCCGUUAACUAUUAUAACACACACUAACUUUUUUAGUUACCAAAUACUGUUGCAACAUUGUACAUGUGUUUCAAUAUAAGUAUACAGAUCAUGUCAUCUUAAACGUGUCAAAGCAACGCCAUUAAACAUCAGCUGUAUUUAAAAAAAAAUGACAAAGCUAAUCAGCAGUUGAAACUAACAAUCAAAUCAGCAGUGUAAAUAAGAAAAUGCCCGCAAGACCAAUACUGAUGCAAAAUAGUAAACAUAUCAUUUUUUCACUUCCCUUUAAGAUAUUUUUUCUGAAUACCAUUUAGAAUCAAUCUUCAUGUAUUGUUUCCUUCACAUGUCAGUGUUUUUCUAUUCUCUCUUUCUAUUUCUCAUUAGAAAACCAAAAACUCAAUAUUAAAAAAUAAUCAUAGCUUUAAAAAUCAAGUAAAAGAAAAUUAACUGAAAAGCACUAUAUGUCGUGUUAGUUAUACAGUUAUUUGAACUAUUCGUUUUACGAAUUUGUGUUAAAUAAACUAAAAAGGGAGGAUUGAAAAAUAUACUAGCACAAAGAAAGAUGGAGUACAGCAAGGUUCUUUUUAUUCACAAUAUCACGAUGAAGGAAGAAAUAUCAAAGUAUGAUCAAUUCUUAUUAACUAUGCAUUCAAAUUAGAUAAAGUCCAUAAAGUAUUUGAGGUGUAGAUUUGUGUGUUGCAAUGUCAGUUUUUCAAUCGUUUUAAAACAUUUAUUAUUUUUGUUUUUACCUUUGACAUCCC
rnacentral:lncRNA from 1 species